CUGUUGGCGGGAGGACAUUAUCCACAAAUAUAAAGAUUGCCUUUUCUGCGCUCAGCUUGAUCCUUUUGCGGAUGACAUAGACAAACUGCCCCACAGUCAGGUCAGCCGGUACAAGGUACCUGAAAUUUUCAGGUUCAGAAUAUAGGGGGGAAAUCUCAAUAUCAUCAAGCAUAGCAGCUUAUCAUAAUCCAGGUAAUAAAUAACAUAUAUAUUUUCUAGGGCUAAACCGUUUAGAAGAUGGCCAUAAUUAAAAGACAGAAAGAUAAGCCAUUCCACAUAACAAAGAUAAAAAGAAGCAAAAUAAAAACUAGAGAGGUGGUUGGGUGCCGAAUAGCAGGCUCGGAUCGGUGAUGUUUAGGCAAUCAGGUACAGUCUUUAUGGCAAAAAUGGGCAAGAAGGGUCAGAAGCAGGAGAACAAAAUUACAGAGACACCACUUGUGUAUUCUGACAAUCAUGAAAUGCAAAGAAGAAACUUCUAGAAACCGCUAGCCAAAGAAAUUUCAUGUUCAUGAGAGCAAAGUAUCAUGAAGACAGAAACCAUAGGUUAUAUGGUGUUCCACUUUCACACAAGUAAAAUUUUACUUUCAUCAGUUUUACAAUCGUCCUUGGGUUCUCUGGGGUUAUGACCAUCAAGUCAUAUUUCAGCUUUGCGUGUGCCACCUGCAGGAAUGUAUGUGUGUUCCCACAUAAUUUAAAGGUUGUCAAAGAAACUAGAAACUGUUUGUGUUGGAUUCCCCUAAAUGUGAGACGGGCAAGGUGAGAAGUGAAUAGAGUCAGAAAGUUAUCCACUCUACUUACUUUUUCUUGUCUAUGUUUGGUAUAUCACUUCUUUCUGCCUUCUCCACAAUCACCUUAAAAACAAACAAGCACAAUUAGAAACAUGUUAGCUUCAAAAUGCAAAAGUAUAAGAUUCUUUAAACACACUCUCAACUCAUGCAAUCAUAGACAGCAACUACAAAGUAACAUCAGAGAUUAAAUCUUGAUAUGCUUUCUGAACCAAGAGACACAUUUUAAUUGUUGUAUCCGUAGCCAACAGAAAAGAAAAGCAUUAAGAGCAUGCAGCAUCCAUUACUUUACUUGAUCCCAAUGCACCAUACAUUCAUAGUCUACUGGGUUUGCUCAUUUUUAAAACCUUCCAACCAAUCAUUGUAAAUAAUGCCCAUCAGACAUCACCAUGGAUGAUAAUUGCAAACAGAAUUAACCUGUCACACAACCUAAAUCCAUAUAAAAGCAGAAGCCAUUUGCUGCUAGAUCAUUUGGAUAAAGACUGCAGUUCAAGGCCCUCAUUAUAUUUAUACGUGUUAAACUGUCAAAACCCUGAAAGAUAUUUUAAAAUACAUUUAGCAAAUACAUAGGUGCUAGACUUUCCAGGCAGAAAGAAAUGCACCACUGUAUACUCAACUUUUGACCAUAUAUACAACUUUGAUAUAAGACACCAAGUUACAAAAUGGCAGGUAUAGUAAUUGCAUUAAGCAACAUCAGCCACUCUUCUAAGCACAUUAACAGUCCCAAGCAAGACAUUCACUGUUCUAAUGCAAAAGAGUUCACCCAUUGGAAUUAACAAUAAACAAUUGAGAGAGGAUAUUAUCAUUGGUCUCUCACCGGAAUCCUAUCUGGGUACUUCUCCCUGAUCCUAGCAGCCUCUGCCCUCCUCUUCUCUGUAGAAAACAAAACACAGAAGAAAAAAAUCAACAUUUUUCAUCACUUUGACAUGAUCAAAACAUAAAAAUACAACAAGAUUCAAAGUAUAUACCAAGAUCAUGCUCUUGCUUGAAAUAACUCUUUGCCAUUCCUGCUGAAAACAGCACACAAAAUAAGUAAACAAAGUUGCUUUCUCCAUUCUUUUUUCCUCUAAAAAACUGAUUACCCUAGAAACAACAUAGCGACUAAUAUGUAUAUAAUUCUUCAAAAUUUAAGGUCCAUGAGAGCAUAAGCUUCAAUCCAUAAUCCAAACUUACAACCUUUUAAGAAAAACUAGAUGAUCACGAUGGUCCAUGACAUACUAUUAAACAAGAAGAAUUAUCCCAAAAGAAACCCCCAACCUAAAUUCAAAAAUCAACAACUCAUAAUUAAACAACAAAAGAUAUUAAAAAAAACCCAAGUUUUGACCUAAACAACAAUUAUCCAAGACUUGAAUAAAAAAGAAAGAAAAGGGGUGAACCAUCAUCUUCGUCAACAUCGAUAACCCACCAGUUCAAAAGAAAGAAAAGAGAAAUCAAAACCAAGAGCAUAAUUCAAGAAAGAGAAAAGGAAAUUACUAUACAAGAUAUGAAAAUCAAGUAUAAAGAAACCUAACCGUGUGCCAAGAGAAGGAGAGAGCUUUUGUGUUGAUGAAGAACUCGUGGGUGUUGUGUUUAAUUGGUUUGGUUGCAGAUAAACUGAUAAAGUCGAAGCUGUUUUGGAUUCUUUAAAUAAUAGACUUCUUCAUUUCUACUCUUUAGUUAUAUAAUCCUUUAUUAUAUUUGUUUUGGACAUUUUAGCGCGUGUUCCCUCGCCGAUCAACUUUACUUUUUAACCUCUUCAUCAUUGCAUCACUCUUUCUCCUGGUUUGUCAAUAUUGCCCUUAUUUUCCCCAAAAGACAUCGUCAUUGUUUUAUGCCAAAAGGUUCAUCAUUUAACGAUCUUUAAUUUUAUGUAUUAAAAGUAUUUUUAAAAAGUAUUAAAAAAAUAUAAUUCUUUUAUUUUAAAUUAAUUUUUUUAUGUUUUCAUUGUUUUGAAGUGUUAAUAUUAAAAAUAAUUUUUAAAAAUAAAAAAAUUUAUUUUAAAUAUUUUAAAAUAAAAAACAUUUUAAAAGAACUCUCAACCACUCCAUUAAAAGAAAACUUAUUCCGAUUUCAUUAAUGCUUCAUUUAAUAUGCACAUGUAAAUAUUCUCUAAUCUAAUAUGGUAAAUAACUUUGAUUAUUAACCACUGGACAGCUUGUAGGUGUUAAAUUAUAAACUUUAUUUAGGGGCGUGAAUCUUUUUUAUUUAAAAAUGAUAUUUUAAGUGUAUUGUAUCGUUUUAAUAAGGUAAUGUUAAAAAUAAAUUUAAAAAAUAAAAAAUAUAUAUUAUUAUUUUUCUACUUAAAAAGUUUUUAAAACACAACUUUUAUCAUACUCUUAAAAUUAUACUAAUAUUUAGAUAAGAUGACCAAUAUUUUAAUAAAAAAAAAUUAUUGGAUUAGAUUCUUUUAAGAUAGGACUAUCAUAAUUUAUUAUAUCAGGAACAUCCAGAUCAUUGAUUUGAAUUUUAAUAAUUAGAAUUUCACUUCACUUAUAACUAGCGGGUGAUUUGGGGUUUUUUAUUAUUAAAAUAAAUGUUUUGGUCAAUUUGUGUGCACCUCUAUUAAUUCCACAAGCUCUAAAGUUAACGAUUAAAUAAAUUUUCAGUGACAUUAAAGUUUGUGAGACUCAAACUAGUAAUUUCUAGAAAAUAAAUUUAUAACCUUAACAGUUCAGCUACACUUUUGGAUUUAUUUUGAAUUGGUGGGUAGCUUUAUUUAUAUAAAAAAAAUCCAAUUUUUUUAUUUUAAAAUUAAUGAUUUGGAUUCAACUAUCCCGAUUUAUCAUAUUACUCCUAAUUUAAGAGCUAAGUAUGAUUUUAUCAAACGUAUAAAAAUCUAUAAAAAAAAUGACGUAAGUGAUUUUUUUUUCCACGAAAAAGGGUAUGUAAAAAGAGAUUUAUAAGGAAAAUUCUUAAACUAUACAAAGAGAAGUGAAUUAUUGAUUAAAAUCAAUAAAUCAAUAGGGGCAACAAAUAACGUAAACUUUGUGUUGAAGAAGGUGCCAGCCCCUCUAAAAAUAACACGUUGUUGUGGAUGUGGCACGUGGCAGAAUUUCUUUGGAUUAGGACGAACGCGAGGAAUACUAAUCUCACAUACAAGAAGUAGACGCUAGGAUACUGAGAAUAUGCCAUCCGAAUCACUUUUUACUCUCUUCGAAUUUGGAUCCUACCCGCCCUUUUUUUGUUGACCGUUCUGUCCCUGUUGUUAUAAAGUGAAGCUAGUUGUUGACCGUGGAUUACUAUUAAUUUGUUAGCAGGACGGUGUUGAAAAACUUGCUCUUCUAUAGUGUAUUUGUAUUAUUUGAAGUGAUGUAAUCCAUUAAAAUUAAAUAAUAUAAAUAUUAUCAAUGAUACUUAGUUAAAAAAAUAAAAAAUAGAUAUUAUAGAUUAGAUAAUGAAUUGAGAUUUUUAAAAUUUAAUCAAUCUAAUUUAACCUCUAUUAUUAGAUUUAACCUGAUUUAAUUAAAUUAAUCCAAUUCAACUUGUAUUAUAUUAUAUACUCAUUUUAUUUUUAUAUUUUAUAAUUUGUGGAUUGAAUAUAUUUUUUUUAGAAUUAAAUGGUGAUAUAAAGUAUAAAAUCAGAUAUAAUAUUAGAGGUGUCAUAAUAUAUACAAUCUAUGUUAUAGAUCCACCUCUAAUUGCAUACCUAUAAAAAUUAGUAAUAUAAAUGGAUAUCUGUAAUAUCCAUAAAAAAAAUAAUUCAACCAAAUAUAAUCAACCUACUUAGGUUUAAAAAACACUAAAUAAAUUAGAUUUAUAAUUUAUAAAAUAUCAAAAAUUAAGUUAAAUAUAAUUAUAAGUACAAACUCGAUACAAUUAUACGUGUAAACACCGCAAGUUAGUAACAUGCAAGGUAAGCCUUGACUAAGUUAGGCCUGUUUGGCAUCAUCGCCUUAGUUAGCGUCUUUGUAUAGUUUUUUUUGUCCAAAUUUGUUUGGGAUUACGGUGUUAUUGUGAUAAAAAGUUAAAAACUCACAAGGUGUAGAAGCUAGCACUCACAUCCAUUGGCUUCUUUGCAAAGAAAGCGGUGGCUUUGUAGAAAUAUAACAAACAAUAAUUUUUCAAUUUCAUUGUGUUGUGGCUGGAAUGACAGGUAUAUUUUAUAUUAUUUCAAAAACAAAAUGAAAUGAAAUGAAAUUCAUCUUUUUCAAAAUCUCGAAUUAUUUUAGGUUUUUUAUCUAAAUUUUAGCUGAGAUAUUUUAGAUUUAUUUCAUCUAUUAUGUUUUGGACCCAAAAAAAUGCUCUAUUGUUAGCAUUCUUUUCAUCUAGACACAACAAUCGCCUUUACUAUUACAUUAACUCUUUUGAACAAGUUCUUUCUAUAAAUAAAUAAUUAAAUAAAAAGACUGUUGUACAUAUCUUAUAAUUGUCAAUGACACUGUAUCUUUUUAUCAACAAAUAGGUAAUAGUUCAUUCAAUGAAAACGUGAAUUGUGUUUCAUAUCCCCUAAAACUCAAAUUUCUAGGUAUAAAACAUCUAGUCUCUGGUCAAUUUUUAAUUCCAAUUCCGUCAUACUGUUUUACAAUUAUGUAUUAUUGUGAUGACAUGGUAUAGUGAUAAUUACGAGUAUAAAAAUGGUAGUGGUUAUGGUGAUGAUGAUGAGGUGGGGGUGGGGGUGGGGGUGAAAAUAAUAGGGGGUGAAAAUAAUAGUUAAAAUUAUUUAAUGAUAUUGUAAGUGUAUUAUUAUCAGUAAAAUAUUUGAAGAAACUUCAUAAAUUAAAAACAUUCUCCAACAAAUAAAUUAAGUUUAAAGUUAAUCAUAAAAUAUAAACAUUUUCCAACAAAUAAAUUAAGUUUAAAGUUGAUAAUAAAGUAUUUUAUUUUGGGUAUUUUUCUUUAAAAUAUAUUAUGAGAAACAAAUACAAAAAGACUUGGUUGAUAUUGAAAUAUUACUAAUAAUAGUGUCUUCAUUGGCAUAUAAAAAUGAACAAAAAUCAACUUUACAAAAUAAUCUAAAGAACAAAAAAAAAAGUAAUUAAAAGAAUGACGAUUAAAUUUAAAAUAAAAAUAAAUGAGAGGAUAAUUUAUAUUAUUAUUUUUUUAUUGAAGGAUGAAAUUAAAAAAUAAUAAUUUCAUAAAAGAUCCAAAACAAAAAAUAGGAAUUAAGAUAGUAAUUAAAUUUGAGAGGUAAAAUAAAAGGAUAACCUUCAAUUUUUUAUUGAAUGAUAAAAUUAAAAAAAAAAUAUAUAUUAUAAAAGGACUCAUAAAAAUUUGGUAAUAAAAAAAAUAAGGAUUAAAUUUAAAACAGUAAUAAAAGAGGAUAAAUCAUAAUUUUUGAUAAGGCAACUCGAAUUCCUAUGAGAUGAAAGAAAAAUAAGGAAAGAAUAAAAAAAAAUAUCAUCAACGAUAAACUAUAAUAAUUUGAUCUACACGUGUUGUCUCAUACGGAAAAUCAUAACACACCACAUUUACAGUCAUCGAGAAAAACUUUUUUUUAUCACUAGAAGAGGUCGCACACACUACCAGAGCGCUGCAACCUCCCUCACUUUGCAGCGCAUUCAAUGCAUGCACCAACCGAUAUGACCCUAAUCGUUAACUAUAGUCCUUUAUAUUUGUUUUAGUGUCCAAUUUGGUUCUUAAAACCCUAAUUGUUAUUUGACAAAUCAAGUAUCAACAAAGUACCAAACCUUUUUCCUAACAUUACAAUUGGCAACCAAAAUGAAACAGUAAUUCAAAGAUAUUGGACUGAUGAAACUUUGACUUGUUUUUAUUUAUUUUCUCCUCUUUUUUUUAUGAAGAUAUCGGCGUGCAGGGUCAGUCAUAAGAUCAAAGAGCUCACCAUCUGUUUAUCAAUGGAUAUUGAUAAUAAAGAACCUCGUAGGAAUUCUGUACUUCAUGCUAUGUGGGCAUCACUUUGGAACCUCAUGCCAUAAAAAUUUACACAAAAAAAAGGGAAAAUAAGAGAGAAACUAAUUGAGGAAAAGAACAUUAUUAUGCAGGAGGGGCAAAGAGGAAUUAAGUUGUGUCACUUUCCCCUUCAUAAAAUCAAAGCCUUCAUCCAUCCCUGGCAUGUCCAAAUCAUGUUUUUUCAAAAAAAAAAAAAAAAACAUUUCCUACAAGAUUGAGCAAAAGCAUGUCCUCCCAUGCUUCAGUUUAUUUAUUUUCUCCUUUUUGGGAAGCUUCUUUUUGGGCCAUGCUUCCCGCAAAGCCCUUUGGGUUCCUUCUUCCUUGUAUUGUUUCGUCUCCCACAUUGAGAAUUAUAAGAGGAAAAGACACGGGAGAUAUGCAGUGACAAGUGCGGUCAAACCCAGGACUGUACCUUCGAAGUUGACGUCCAAAUUUUCACCGGAAAACGCUAGAAAAUAUCUAUUUGCAUGCCUGCAGUCCAUGACAUAUUUAUGCAAAUCUUACAUUUUUAGGCUUUUGUUGGGGCACCAAAAUGAUGCUGAUUGGCAGGGAACCAGGGUCUUUGCAUUUGACGGGUUAUUGUUCAAGUAUUUAGGGUUUGUUUGUGGUGAUAGUUAUUGUUUAAAAUAUUUUUUAUUUAAAAAUAUAUUAAAAUAAUAUUUUUUUUAUUUUUUAAAAUCAGCACAUCAAACAAUAUAAAAAUAUAAAAAAUAAUUAGAAAAACAAAAAGUCAAAAUUCAAGGAAACUCAAUUCAACCGCGUUCCUAGUAUUGUCCCAGGAAAACUUACCUCAAAGGUCUUUGCUUUCGUGAAGUAUCGAGUUUGAAGGGUUUGAGAAUAUAAUAAUUGUUGUUUUUUGAUAUAUAUAUAUUUUUUAGUAUUUUAAAAUAAUAUCUUUUUAUUUUAAAAAAAUUAUUUUUAACAUCAAUAUAUUAAAACAAUCUAAAAACAUAUAUAAAAAAAUAAUUUUAAAUUAAAAAAAAAUCAAUCCUUUUAGAAACACUGUUUGAAACACAAUUACAAACUACCUUGAAUCUUGCACUCAGUUUAUUUCUGUUGUUUACUGGAAAUCCUGCACUAAAAAGAAUUGAAAAAAAAAAACACUUAUAUUACAUGAAGUUUAAGACUAUUUGUAAAUAAAAAAUAAGUUUAAAAAAAAAAUUAUAGUUUUUAAUAGGAACCACACAAAACUAUUCUGUGUAUUAAUCUACGAAACACUUUUAAAUUCUAGUCGAGACAGUACACAGACCACACCACGUAACAUGAACAAACAACCAUGAAAUUGGCGUUCGCUUUGUAUGCGCAUGAUCAAGGUAACCAGAUUGAAAAUGACUCCGAAAAAUUCAGAUGCAGAUGACAACAAACGAGGCCUGUAAGGAGUCUAAUUGUUGCAUUCAUAUGAUCAGUGUAACCCUCAGGCCCCAGUGAGAAACACAGGGGAGAAAUAACAACGUUUGAAGGAAAUGUAAUCUUGUCGUCUGUCAUAUUUAGAUGUUGACGAAAUCCACGGAAGGAAAUUUUCACCACGGUACAUAUGAUCCUGUUGAAAGUUGAAACUCGUUGCAUACGUGUCUCGGUCUUCGUUCAUAAUCAUCCAUCUUGAUCAUCUCGACAAAAAAGAAAAAAAAUGAGCUUAAACGUUCCAUGGCUGUGGCUUGGAUAAUGACAGAUGCUGCUUUUGCUGUAGAGUUAUGAUUUUUCUUUUGAACUCAAAUGCAGCAUCGUGGGUUAUAAAUAGUGCAGCGCAGAUGCAUUCCAUACGGUGGUACAAAGCCUGUUUCAAGAAGAAUGUCUUGUUUCAGCAUGUUUUUUGAGAACUCAACUCUCUGUUUCCACCUAAUAAAUGCAGAUUAGAUUGUUAAUGAUUUUCUUAUGGGUUUGUAUACUGUUUUCUUAAGAACUUAACACUCUGUAUAUAUAUUAAUUGAUUUUCCUAAUAAAUGCAGUGAUCAUGUAUGCCAUUAAUUAUUAGGACGAAAGGAUGGAUUGAAAGUUACAGCAACAAUCACUGUGGUGUGGAUCCUCCUGAUUCCAACAUUUUCCAGCAUAAAAGAAGGGGAAAGGACGGGUGUGAGGACGAAUUUCCUUCCCAAUGAAAUGCCUCUUGACCUAAUUACACACCCCACCAACCACUUGAGCAUGACUUUAGUCGGAUCUUAUCAUAAUCAUUGAAAAGAUUAAUUCACAUUUUGAUCAUGUUAUCUAAAUUUUGCCAUGUCACUGAUUGUUACGUGGACUUGCCCUGUUUCUUUACUGCCAGCUCUCUUCAUUACAUGACUUGAGUCUGAUGCAAGCUUGAAUUUACGUUGUUGGUAUUAGAAAUUCUGUCCGACAGUGUUUUAACAAGAUCGCACCAGCUUCUCUUUUGAAUUUCACCAUCGCUAAGACUGAAAGGGGUUGGUGAAUAUUCUCAUAGAGCUUGUCGUCUUGCCAGAAUCAAUUAAAGUUGAUAGCGAAAAUCGAGCCUUGUUGUCUGAUCAUUGAUUGCUUUUAGUUGCGACUAGGGCAGUGUACCCCCCUCUUCACCGCGGAUGGAUGGAAUUAGUUUUUUUAAAUGUAAAAAAAUAUUAAGAGCAUCGAAAUUUUUUUACAAUUGAUUGAUUUUAUGUCUAAAUACAACCUUAAUAAUUGAUAAAAAUAUAAAUUAUUUUAAAAAAAAAUAAUUAAAAUGAUAAUUUUAAAAAAUAUAUAUUAAGACAAUGAAAGAUUGUAAUGACAUUGAUCCUCCUACGACCUGAGUUAUGAAUUCUAUUGGGUUUAAUAACUUUUUUAUAAAAAAUUUUUAUUUAAUUACAUGAUAAAAAUAUAUGUUAGACAAUUAAGCACCAACUUAAAAAUAGACAUUUCUUUGAGACAAUUAUCCCUACAAAAAACAAACAAAAAUCCAUAAGAUAAUUUAUUUCUCAACCAAACUAGUAUUAAAUGAUGAAAUUAAAAACAAUUAAAAGAUCAAAAACAAACAAAAAAAAGCAUAUUCUAUCGGUGGGUAAACUCGUCGAACCUGUGAAUUGGAUAAACUGGGCUAGUACGCCAAACCUGUGAACUAGGUUAUUGACUAAAUUAGAAUAAUUUGUUUUUUGUUCAAAACGAUUUUUAUUUAACUAUAUGAUAACAAAAAUAUAUAAUUACAAAAUCAAACACCAACUUAAUAUCAAUAUGACCUAAUUUUAUGGCCACCAUGGUGGUGUUCGAAUUCUAGGCUGGCAAAUGAAUCAUCAUCCACCCCUUCCAAAUUAAAAAUAAAUAAACAUACCCAAAUGCACUGCCUAAGCAUGGUCUUUUCCCCUUAAUUUUUCUUUUUAAAACUUUUUUAUAUAUUUAGAAAAAGCAUAAUAAUAAAAACUAGAUGAACCCAAUAAAGUCCAUGACUUAGUCAAAUGCUUGACAGGUUCAGACACAAAGUUUAUGUUGAUCUAAUAUAUUGUUUUUUUAUAGAUAUAUAUAAAAGGUAUCAUGUCUGAUGUUAUUAAAACAUUUGGUUUAUUUUGAAUUGGUCUUCAUGAUAUGUUUCAUGUUUGUUUCUGUAUGAUUAAUGUUUUUUUUUACAAUAUUAUUACGAUCGCAUGACUUAUGUCACAAUGAUGCGUGUGCAUAUAAUCCUCUCUAUAUUUUAUUAUAUAUGAACAUCGAUUUUUUUAUUUAUAGUUAUAUUUUUUUUCUCAAUGUCAAAAAAUGUGUUAGUAGCACUUGCGUGAUCAAUCUUCUGUGUUGGAAAAAAAAUUACCUGACCUGAGUUUAAUUAACGCGUUAAUAUUUUUUAAUUUAUUAACACAUGUAGUUCUAAAUUUAUUUAAUUAAAUGUAUUCAUAAAUUUUUUUAUUUAUUCUUACAAAUUUUUUUGUCAAAAAACACGUUAUAUUAAUUUUUUAAAAAAUAUAUAUAUACAACCAGUAACGAACCGUUUGUUACAUAGCUUUUUUAGUCAAAUUCAUGUAUCAAAUAUCGUACAUGUCAUCUAAAAUAACAUUUUUUUACUUCUAUACUAUUUAAAUAGAACAAACAAAAACUGUGGCGGUGAAAUUAAAAUUCAAUGCAAGUAGAGAUACUGAAUAUGAUAUUCAGCAUCCACGAAUUAAAAAUGAUAAAAAAUAACACCAUGUUGGCACAAUGCAUUUUGAAUUCUCAUAACGUUUUUUUUUCCUUUAUUUUUUUCAUUAUGAUUAUCCAAAAAAAAUUAAUUUUAUUUUUUCACAUUGUAUUGGUUAGUAUAUCAACUUGGUAGUUUGUUUUGUAUUGCUCUCCAUUUAUUUAGUUAUUGUGAUCUCAAAAAAUUAUCCUGAUAUUAAUUAAGUUGGUUUUUGAUUUUACAAAAAAAAAAACUGAUUUAAUUGUUUGCAAAAGAUUUAAAAUGAGGAGACUAAAAUUGAAAGUGAGACAAAAUGGUAGUCUUUUUUCUCAAAUAAAAUUUCUUUUUUUCCUUUUAUUUUUUUACUCUAGUCAUUAAACUUUUUAUUUUAAUUACAUUCUUUCACAUUGUAUCGAUUAGUGAUUAGGUUUGAUGAUUUUUUUAUUUAGAGUUAUCAUAACUUUAAAAAAUAUCUUAAUAUUGGAUUGGUUCAUGAUUUUGUAAAAGAAUAAUUUGUUUUAUCUUUUGAAAAAAUUAAAAAUGAUGGGACCAAAAUUCAAACUCAGGUAAAACAAGAGUCCUUUUAAAAAAUAUAUGGUGUCAGCUAUUCUUUUCAUAGUUUUGAAACCCGACCCGGUCGACCCUCCGGGUCACGGGUCAGCUGGGUUGACCCGGGUUAACCCGGGUCAAAUCAAAAAAAUCUAAAAAAAAAAAAAACACAUAACUCUGCGUUGGCUAAACUUCGACUUGCUGUAGUUGAAUCUCUUCUUCCAAGCUUCACCGCGUAGGAUGGUACACCGACCUGUGACAUUUUUUUCAUAAGAAUCAUAAGUAACAAGUCCUGAUUUUGCAGCUCACAAUACCAACAACAAUAAAGAGAUGGAUUUAGAUACUCACAUAAGCAGACGCAUCUCUCGCUGCAACAGCAAUGAUAUCUGCACAAGAUACUACUCCAGGACAGAUCUUCUCAACUUCAGCGUAUUAGAACAGGAGCUGUCGUAAAAUGCAGGGGAGAGUUGUGCUUGGCAUGCUAUGUUCAGCAAGAACAACAUGAACAUGAAAGAAGCUGUUGCUCCUGCUUUUGCUGCCAUUUUAUAAGUUUUCAGUUGGAGAAACUAAAGUUUUUAGCGCGCUAAAUGUAUAGCUAAGUCUGCAAGUGUUGUUACCAAAACACUUCUUGUCGUGACCCAUUAAUUAAUUAUUUUGUCUGCAUCAAAUCCUAUGAAAUAAUAAUCUAAUGAGGCUGCUUUGGUAUUUUUUAGAGCAAUUAGUUGCUCACAGCUGCGGUCUUCUCAGUUCUCUACGUCGUUUUGACCUUUUAAUUGUAAAGGCCAAAACGACGUCGUUUCAGGCAGAAGAAUAUAUAAAAAAAUAAACUCGGGUCUCAGUCGGGUUUGGCCGGGCCGGCCGGGUCACGGGUCGACCCUCCGGGUCGACCGGGUCUGGCCGGGCCAAUUCCCAGCCUGUCUUUUCCUUAGACCCGGCCCGGCCACAGGCCCGGGUCCCGGGUCGACCCACUGGGUCGGGCCGGGUUUUAAAACUAUGAUUCUUUUAGAAAACUUUUCUUGAGAUUUUUUCCAAAUUCUUUAUUAAUCCCUUUAGUUUGAUAAUUCACAUAUUGGCAGUGUUAUUAAACCCGACCCAGUCUGGUGGAUCGACCUGGUGGCAUGAUCGGCCCAGGUUUAAUAAAAGACCGGUUAUGGCAACAACCCAGCCAAACCCGGGUGAACCCAGACAAGACCCAGUUAUUUAUUUAAUUGUGGAAUUUAAAACCUAUUAGUAUAUAUACUAUAUGUUUCCAAGAAAAAAAUCAUAUUUUUUCAAUGUGGGAUAAAAAAAUCUUUUGGUUUAGAUACUUCAAUUUAAAAAGAUAACACCUUUCUUAUAUAUACUCUAUAUUUCCAAGAAAAAAAUCAUGUUUUUUCAAUGUGGGAUAAAAACUUUCUGGUUUAAAUAUUUCAACUUAAAAGGAUAACAUAGUAUCUUUUCAAUGUGAGAUUUGAAGCCCUUUCGUAUAUAUACUCAAUGUUCCCAUGAAAAAAAUUAUGUUUUUUCAAUGUGGAAUUUGAAACCUAUUUGUAUGUAUACUCUAUGUUUUCAAGAAAAAAAAAUUAAGUUUUUUCAAUGUAGGAUAAAAAACCUUUUUGGCUUAAAUACUCCAACUUAAAAGCUUAACAUAAUAUCUUUUUAAUGUGGAAUAAUUUUUUUUUUUAAAUACCCUUCUAAACUUCAUUGUUUAUAAUAUGUAUAACAUAUAUUUACAUGGAUUUUUUUAUAUGAAAUAUUAUAUAUUUAUUUAUUUAAUUAAUUUUUUUGAGUUGACCCGAGUUUACUUGAGUUGAUCCAUGAAACCUGGGACCUGUUUUCUGAACCGAGUUUAAUAACUACGCAAGUUAGUCCUUAAGUUUUAGAGAAAAGAGAAUGAUACAAAAUAAUAAAUGAGAGAAAAAGACAUCGGUUGGUUGGGUUUUGCUAAUAAAAAUAAAUAAAAUGUCAAAGUAUGUCGGAAUAAGAGAGGAUUUCUUUCUUAUACGAGAAUGUGUUUUUUAACCUAAUUGAGAGGGGAUUGAGUUGAGAGUUGGUUUAUUGAGAUUAUAAAAGUGAUUUUAAAGUUUUUUACGUGAAAAUAGAUUAAGAAUUAGUUUUUGGGUUCUAAAAAACCUCAUUCUAAUUUUUAAUAACCUCUCCAACUAUUAAAAACUAAACAAACAGGCAAUGUCCUCCACUCAGUUCGCAAAAGCAUAAAAAAGGUCAGAGCAUGCUGGCAUAGGGUGGUAGGCCCACUCGCCUGGGAUUAUUUUUAAUGUUCAAUGUGCCUUAGGGUGUGUUUGGUAUUGCGGUAGUUUUUGUGGUUGUGUUUUGAAAAAAAUUGUUUUAUAAAAAGUAUUUUUAGUUGAGGUUGGUUUGAAAAAAUAGGUGUUUGGUUAAAACUGAGGUUGAAGUUGAGGUUGAAGAAAAAGUAGUUUAAUGUGUUUGGUUAAAAAAAUGCUUUUCAAAUUGAGGUUAUAAAAUAAUUAAUAUAUAUAUAUAUAUAUAUAUAUUAAUACUAAUGAUUUUUAAUUUAAAUAUUGUAAAUUUAAUUACUUAUAUUACAUCAUGAAAUAAAAAAUAUUUUAUAUAAAAUAUAUUUUUUUAUUCCAUUAAACUAUUUAUAAUUCCAUUAUGUACAAAAUUUAUCUGAUAAGAAUUACAGUUUUCAUAAUUUUUUUAGCGUAGAUAAAAUAUUAUCAGGUAUAAAAUUGAUAUUACAGUGCGAGUGAAUUUAUUUCACUCUAUACUAGUUUUUCGGGAAAAAAAUAUUGUUCACAUCACAGUACGACUUUAAACUAGUGUUUUUUUAAAAAAAAAAAUGUUAAAAAAUUUAAUACACUGAAAAAAAAAACGUGAACAGUGCAUUAGUGUGCACUGUUUAACUAGUUUUUUUUUUUUAAAAAAAAUAAAAAUGUUAAAAAAUUUAAUACACUAAAUAAAUAAAUGAACUGUACAUUAGUGUCCACUGUUUUACUAGUUUUUUUUUUUAAAAAAAUAAAAAUGUUAAAAAAUUUAAUACACUAAAAAAAAACGUGAACAGUGCAUUAGUGUGCACUGUUUAACUAGUGUUUUUUUUAAAAAAAAAUAGAAAAAGUGAACAAUGCAUUAGUGUGCACUGUUCAUGCUAAUUGCACUGUUCAGUGAACAGUGCAAUUAGCAUGCACAGUGCGUAAAAAACAUGUGGGACCCAUGAACAGUAAUUCGCUUUUUUUCAUUACCAAACGGCUGCCAACUGCGUUUUAAGUAAAACGCAGCCGCAACCGCUUACCCAAACACCAUCUUAGGCCACUCAGCCACCGUAGGCCUACGCUGGGAUUAUUUUAACCCGUUGUUUUGUUUAUCUUUUCUAACAAUUUCAAUUUAAUUCCUUAAAAAAUGAUUAAUUUAGAAUAUAUUAAUUAUAUUAAUUUAUCUUAAAAUGAUUAAGAAUAAUUUUAUUAAGAAUUAAUCACGUCAUAUGAUCGAGCAUUUUUAUUUAUUUAUUUUAUAAUUAUUAAAAAAAAAGUAUUUAAUGACAUGUUAUCAUAAAUUUAUUUUAUUAAAUAUUUAUCAAGUUUUGAAUUUAUAUAAAAACAAAAUUCUACUGGAUAAAAUAUAUAUUAGUAAUAUUUAAGUAUUUUUUUAUGUUAAAAAAAUUUUAAUUUGACAUAUAGCUGCCUUAAAUCUAUUAGAUAGAAUUACGAGUGUGCAGUAAAAAAUAUUUUUUAUUUUAAAAUAUAAAAAAUAUAUUAAUUUAAAACUAAAAAAAAUACCAAAACACGAUUAGAUUGGAAUUACAAUCAGAAUCAGAUUCCUAAUUACUUAUAGAGGAAAGGGGAAAAAAAGUACGAAAAAAUUGAGAAAUAAAAAAAAGGUCCGGUCAAUCCCAAAGUCAGACGGCCGCGGAAGAAAACAGCAGAAAAGGCAAACUAGUGUACUGGAUUGCAGAAUAUCUGAGGACUGGGACUGUCACACCGCCGGUUUACUGCGUUUACAACAUGUAAAGGAGGGAAAAAAAAGAAGUAACAGUGAAAAAAAUAAAAUUCAGUCAUUAAAUUAAAUCGAGUCCCCCCAUUUCAUUUAUUAAUGACCCCCCCCCCACCACCACCAAAAAAAAAAAAACAAAGACCAUAAAGAAACUAAAAUAAUUCAUGAGGUUUAUUAUCAUGUUUUUAUUUUAUUUUAUUAAAUAUAAGUAUGGUAAGUAAUAGUGGGUAUAUUAAUAAUUGUAUAGUAAUUUAGAAAAUAAAAAGAAAAUAAAAUCCUAGAAUAACUUACAUUCUAUUUCAUUAAAAAAUUAAAACCGACAUCAGUAAAAAAAAAAAAGAAAUAUCAAGAAGUAGAUUUAAUUUAGAAUCAAAAUAUUUAUUAUUAUUUUUUUAUCAAGUUAAGGUAUGUAUUCUCUAUCAUUGUCUUUUAAUUGAGUUUCUGAAUACAUAUUAAGUUUAUUAAGGAAAGUUCCUAGAGUUUUUAUUAUAUUUAAUUUUUAAUCAUUAUUAAGUAGUGGAUAUUAUAGUAAUGAAGUAUUAGAUUGAUAUGAAGUUAUUUGAAGUGAUUUUAUAUAGUUUUGGUAGAUUAAUUUGAAGUAAUAGUGAAAUUAAAAAGUUAAAAAUGAAGAUGAGCUGCUAAGUUCAAACUACCAGAAUCUAGUCUUUCAAUUGGUGUUAUUGUUGGAAUUUAGUACCCAGCCAUGAGUUCUUUAAUUUGAUAGGUCAUUUGUCUAGGUAAUAGUUGUGGAUUAAGAGUUAUGAUUAUUGAAAAGUACGUAGAUCACUCGAAAAUGUAAUUUCUAAGUUUAUAAAAAUAUACAAUUUUUAAAAUUCAUUAUUGGUUAAUUGAAAAGUGUGAUUCACCCCGAAUAUUUUAUGGGUCCAAGGUUUAUUGUUUUUGUUUAGUAUGUUACCAAAGGGUUUUAGUGUGUUUUAAUAUUUUUUAUGAAUUUAUGAAAAUUAUUUCUAAUUAUUGAAAUUUAGUAAUUAUUAAUUAAAAUUUAUUUUGGAAAGUUAACAACUAUUAUAGUUUGGUUUUAAAGGUUUCAAUAUACUAAAAUUAAUUGAUUUUUAUACGAAGUUUGAAUAUAUAAAAGGUGUUUCAUAAAGAGUUUUAUUUCUAUAUGAAUUAAUUCAUUUACUUAAUAAAAUAGUUUUCUAGAUAUAGUUGCAGUUAGUAAUUUUCGACACCUCCACAUAUUAUACUUGGAAUACUUCUUUCCUUAAAAUAAAAUUAUUUCCUAUCAUUUUCCAAUCAUAUUUUAUAAUGCUAUUAAUCUUGGACCAUAAUUGUUAUAUGUUUUAUAUAAUUAUUUUUGAUAUUUAAUUAUUAAAAUAAAUUUAGAUAUUUUAUUAGUAAAACAAGGGGCUGUAAUGAUAUGGUUCUAGUGCUAGAGUGAUUUUUAGAUAGAAUUUUAAAGUUAUUUAAACUAGUGAUAUAUUUAAGCUCCGAUUAAAUUAGGUAUUAGAAACAAUUUCAUGUAUUACUUUGGAUAUUAAUGAGCAUAUAAUUUAUGAAGAUUGUUAUUGUCAAAUUGAUAAGAAUGCUUGGUUAUCUCCAUGGCUAAUAUUGAAUUUGUAUAUUAGAUAAGUAGUUGUCCAUCUCUUUAAUUUGUUAUUUGAGUUAUAAAAUAUAUAUUUAUGUACUAAAUGAGUUUUUCUUAUUAAAAUAUUUAUUGUUUUUAUAUUUAUUAGGUGGAUCAAGCAUGUUAUAUAAUUUGUAAAUGAUGUUAAGUGUUUUUUGAAGGUAUGUUUAUGAUUGCAAAAAUAUUUUGAAUAUGUUUUAUUUUUAUAACUCAUUUGUGAAUUGAAUAUAAAUAAAUUUAAUUGAUAUGCUUUAGACCUGUUCUUUGAGGGUUAUAGAUUGGUUCUUAUAAACAUAUUUAUUUAGAAUUGAUCUAUUGUUAUUGUGACUAAAGUAUUCAUAGUUCUUUAACUUUGAAUAUGAGUGUGUAAUUUAUAUUCGUGUUCAAAAUAAUUAUUUGAAUUAUUUAAGUUUCUAAAUGAUUAACAAAUAUUUUUUGAACUUUUAAAUCUUUUAAAAUAUUAAGAGUUUAAAAUGUACUUUGACCUAUUGAUUAUAAACUAUAUGUAUUAGUAGCUUUUACAAUACCUAAUCCAGCUAAAGAGAUGAACUGUUAUUUAACAAGUGUAUGACUCUCAUUUUCUAUUUAAUUAUUUAUUUAUUUUCAGAUGAUUUGGAAGAGGUGUAGAAUGUUAAGUGCUUACUUCAUAAGUUUUUAAUUGAUUUAUAGAUUUUAAUAUUUUAAUUAUUAGAUUAAUUUAUGAUUUUAGACUUAUUUUGUAUUUUAUUUUAUUUUAAAAUUAAGUUAUUUGAUGUGAAAUGAUUUAUAUUGAGUUCAAUUAAUUUACGAUUCACGAUAAAAAAUAUUUUAGCAAGGUAUUAUUUUAAGUAUAACUUAUUAAUUGAAGUUACGAUGCUUUGCAUGUUUAUAAAACUUUAAAUGUUCUCACGCAAAAAGGAUAUUUUCAAAGAUAUUUUUUGGGGCGUGACAACAGGUCAACGGGUUAAUAUCUUCUAAGAUUAAUUAUAUUCCUUGAUUUUCUAUUAGUUUAUCUCCUCCGUUAGUUUAUAUUAAUUAUAUUCUUUGAUUUUCUAUUAGUUUAUCUCCUCCGUUAGUUUCUCACAAAGUAAAAAGGAAUGCCCAGAUUUGAUUAUCAUCAAAUCACGCAAGCAUAGUCCAAAAACCUAGGAAAUUUACAAGAAUCCUUUAAAUAUAAAAAUGCAAACAAAACCCACAAGUUUGAUUAAAAGAAUAGCUCCCGCCUGAUUCAAGAAAAACUCGAAGAACCCACUCCAGUACUUGAAGAUGGUGGUCAUAUUAUGGAGAAUUCAUGGAACCCACUUGAGGUUUUGAGAGUUUGUGCUCGGGUUUCUUGAUAAUACUGUUAUUGUGGAGAAGUUGAUGGCAUAGAUAAUGAUUCAAGAUUAAACUCUCCUUGUCGUUGUUGUGUUUUGUUGAUGUUAGGGUUAAUCGCUGAAGGGUUUAACAGCAACAAGGAUUCCUUAUACAGUGCUUGUGUUCAUUGCCACUCUUCCGAUCUUUCUUGGCGUGAAUUUGUAUAGGGAUUUUGACUAGAUUAAAAUUUGGCCAACUAAAAUAAAUUAUAAGAAGAUGUUGUAUUAAUUUUUUUAAGAAAUUCCAAGUCAUUUUUUAAAACACAAAGGAAAGGUAGAUCAUGUUAAAUCUACUCAAUAAGUUAAUCUUGAAACAUCCCAACUCGAUUCUUUAUCUAACUCGAGACUCAAAUUAAAUUAUGUGACAAUUGUCAUAACCUAACCUAGUUGAUUUGACUAGUCUAGAAACAACCCAAAUAAUUAUAAAGAUAUAGGUUGACUUGAAAAAAAUUCAGAAUAACAAUAUUUUUUUUAUAAAAUCAAGACAUUAAUAUAAUGUAUCGACUUGGGUUAAUUGUCAAAUUUAUAUCCUAGAUCAUGAACAAGACUAUAAAAGCACUAAUCUAGUAAGUCAUUGUCUCUUUCUUUUCCCUUUCCUUUAUUCUCCUAUUGGUCGGGUUUUUACUGAAUGAAAUGAAGUCCAAGACCUAAUUAAAAGUUAUUAUAAGAUCAUAGACUAAAUAUUGAAGGUUAUUGCUAUAAUAUGUCAGUUGAUUCAAAAACAGUUCAGACAAUCGAUAAAAAUUAACAAUUGACUUUAAAAUAAGAUUUUAGAAUAUAUUUUUUUUAAAAAUUUAAAAUGAUAAUAUAUUAAAUUUAACCUGGUCAUCAUUAAAUUCAUGACUUGACUCAUGAACAUGAUUAUAACACGCUAACUUGGCUGGUCAAAUGUCUCUUUUUCUUCCUUUCCAUCCUUCUCUCUUUGGCUCGAUCUAUAUGGACUGGAGUGGGAUAAAUUCAGGAUGAAAUCUAAAAGUUAUUAGAGAAUCAAAAACUAAAUCGAAAGAAGAGAGCUUAGGUUCGAGUGUGAUGAAUUUCAAAACUCAAUUGAAAAGUUAAUAUAGAAUUAGGAAAAAUGUUUGGUGCAGCAGGUGUCAACGUGUGAUAGAGUUAUUGCAUUGAGAAGCGCACAUUACUUUCUUUGAUCUUUGGAGAUGGCCGUUCUUUGUGUUGUUGGAAACAUCUUGGCAGCAACUUACUUCCAAUGCAGUGUGUGGAAGUGACUGAGCUCUGGUGCGACUUCAACGAUCAAUUCUUCUUCUCUUUGUUUUUCUCCGUUUCUCCUCUUUCCUCCCCUCAUAUUCCACACAAAUGUUUUUUUUAAUAUUUGUAAAUUUAUUUUUAGUAUCAACUUAUUAAAAUAAUUUAAAUUUUUUUAUUUUAAAUAAAAUAUAAAAAUAAAAUUUAAAUUAACAGUAUUUUGAUCGUACUGUAAAACUUUCCCGUCACUGACAUGUGAGAAUCGCUGCUUAUCAGUCAGUCUAGGGUAAAAUUGGUGCAGUGCCCUCUGUUUUACUCUUUGUAAAGAGGAUAACAGUAUAACUGUGGAGGGUGACAGAAACCCAGUACAAAUAUUAAAGUGCAAAAAUAAAAUAAAAUGAAAAACAAUAGAAAGAGAAUGAGAUAUAGACUAGAGAGAGAGAGAGAGAGAGAGGAGGAGCAGGAGGUGAGAGGGACACUUUAUUGCCUUUUUUAUGAUGCACGCAUCCAUUGCAAACACAGAAUGAUGGUAUAUUAUUACUGUUAAGACAUGAGGGCUAGAAGAAGUGGAGAAACAAAGAGCAAUUAACCACAACCACAACCACACAACAACAAAAUACAGAAAGGUAGAUUGAUUGAUAUGGAGUUGAAGAAAAGGGAAAAAUCAGAUAAAAAAACAUGGAGCUCACCAAGAGAAUGAGAAAGGAUUGGUGGGUGGUCAAGAGCUAGUGACAAAAGAUUUUUUGUUGUAAUGGGUGGGUUGAAGAAGAGAGAUUCAUGGCAUGCAAUGAGAUAUGAUAUUGUGUUAAAAAAUCUCAGUUAAAGAACAAGAAAGUUCCUUUCUUCUUCUUCUUCUUCUUCUUCUUCUCUCUCUCUCUUUUUUUUGUUAAAUCUGAGUGUUAGCCCACUGAGAGCCAACGCCAUUGAGAAUCCUUCACUUCACCACUGCAAAUCUCGGGCCUUUUCUCGACUUCUCUCCAAACACCUAGGCUUCUUGGAAUUUUAUAAGAGGCAUGCCCUUUCGUUUGCAGGCCAAGGGGGGUGUAGAUUUUGAUGGUUUUGCUUCAGUUUAUUCUCAACAAGAAACUUGGACUCAAAGGCAACGACAACAACUUCUUGAAGUAAAUAGCUUUGCAAGCAAAGAACCUAACUCAGUUCUUCAUAUGAGAAGAAGUCCAAGCCCACCUACAUCAGUUUCGACUCUCUCCUCCUCGUCAAACGGCGGCGCCGGUGGAAACACCAGCGACAAGACCGCCACCAUCACGGCAACAGAUAAAGUAGCGAACCCAGUGAACAAUGAAAGGAAAGAUGAAUGGGCAACAGAGCUGCAGCCAUUCCCAAGUGGACUAGAGUUUGUUUCAACAGGAGAAAGAUGUGGACUUGGACUAGAAGAUUGGGAGAAUAUGCUGUCAGAGCCAAGCCAAGAACAAUCCUUGUUGAGGUGGAUAGCUGGGGAUGUGGAUGGCACGCAGUUUGGGCUAAAGCAGUUGUUGCAAAGUGGAAGCAGUCAGNNNNNNNNNNNNNNNNNNNNNNNNNNNNNNNNNNNNNNNNNNNNNNNNNNNNNNNNNNNNNNNNNNNNNNNNNNNNNNNNNNNNNNNNNNNNNNNNNNNNCCUUUGCAAGAACUGAAACGGGGUGGAUUUUCCUCUGGUCUCUGAGUAUGGACCGAGCCAAGUUAGCAGCUGAGUAGCCGAUCGCCCAAGAUGUGUAACCCUUGAGACUAAUCACUUCAUACGCACUGUCUACAACUGCUUUGUGAAUCCCCUCUAGUGUCUCCUUCUCGUAUGGAAUUUGCUGCUUCUCUAAGAAGCUCAAUACGGGCACUCCCCCGACACUUAUGCUGGACCAUAAUGCCACAGAACUAUCCCCGUGCUCGCCAAUAAUGGAGGCCUACCAAAGAAAAGGUAAAAGAUUCAGAAACAAUCUUUCCCACUAAAAUGGCAGAAGAUUUCACUUUUCAAUAGUGACCACAUGAUCGCUCAUGAGAAUUCUUUUUUAAUCAAAAUGCACAAUCAUAACUAAAAUUCUAUAUUUUAUUUUAUUUUAUUUUAUUUUAUUUGUUUGCAGAAUUCAAUGAAUAUCUGCCAACCUCCGCGCACCAAAGCUCUAAACCUAAAUAUGAAAGUCGCACAAAACAAAUUUUAACAUGCUAAAAGAAACUGCAGUGGGGUAAAGUAUGUGACGUAGUUGUGCUGGUAAUAAUAAGUAAUUUUAAUUUUGUUGUCUUCAACUUCUACCUACAUCAGUAUAAUUUUGCAUGGAAAUAAAAUAUUAUAAGCAAGAUCAGUGAACUCACCUGCACAUCCUGGGUAUUGACAUCAAGGUGAUCAGCAAUCAAGAACCGAAACCUGGAACUAUCCAGAUUCGUACCAGAUCCAACAACUCGAUUCGAAGGAAACCCCGACAACUUCCACGCCACAUAAGUCAACACAUCAACAGGAUUCGACACAAUCAUCAAGAUCGUCCCGGGAGAAUACUUAGCAAGCGGAGGUAUAAUUCCCCGAAACAAAGCAACAUUCCUCUGCAACAAAUUCAACCUAGACUCCCCCGCAAUCUGUCGAGCCCCAGCACUAACAAUACAAAGAUCAGAUCCAACAGUGACGGUGUAAUCAGUGGACGCAAUGAUUUUGGUGCGGGGUAAAAAAGCUGCAGCGUGUUGGAGAUCAAGCAUUUCUCCACGGAGCUUUUCAGGGUGGGCAUCUACAAGGGCAAUCUCGUCAGCUAAGUCUUGGGUUAGGAUUGUUUGGGCUAUUGCCAUGCCUACAUUGCCAGCACCAAUAACAGAAAUUUUAGUGUGGCGUUUGGUGGGUGAUGGUGGGGAUGUGUUUUGGAUUGGUUUGAAGAACAUAUCAGAUAGGUCCAGACCCCCCGGACCUAAAGAAGAAGCUGAAGCACUCUUUUGCAUGGUGAAAAGUGAGGGAUGAGCAGAGCUGUUUUGUGUUGUUAGAUGUUUUGUUCGCGGAGACAGGGUUUCCCAAGUUUUUGUGGUAUUUGAAGGCGAAGUGGGUGAAGAAAAAGGACGGUGUUUCCUUUGAACUUUCAACGGUCAAAUAUUGUAUCAGGCUUCAUGUAUAAAAUCGGUUGAGUUGGAUUUCAACAUUUAAAUAUCGUUCCUUUUAGACAGAUAGUGUUUGUACUUGUAAUAGUAUUCAGUUUUUAAAAUAUUUUUUAUUUGAAAUAUAUUAAAAUAAUAUUUUUUAUUUUUUAAAAUUUAUUUUUAAUAUCUAUACAUCAAAAUAAUUUAAAAUAUUAAAAUAAUUAAAAACAAUUAUAUUUUUUAAAAAUAUAUGUGGCCGCAUGCAUAUUGGAGAGGGUUUUUUUAAGAAAGAUAGUAAUUUUAUUAAUACAAAAAUGAUAUUAAGAAUUAUUAUUUUAUAUUAUUACAAAGAGUCUCAUAUAAACACAAGUGUAUUGUUUAUUUUCUCACAUUUUAUUGUGGAUUUAUUGUGCAAAAUUUUUAUUUUGAUCCUCAAAUUUUUAAUUUACAUGAUUGCAUUUUUUUUUGGCACAAUUAAAGAACAAUUGAGUUAAAUUUAUUGAUUAAAGACAAAAUUAAAAGAUAUAGGAUUAAAAAGAAAAAGAUACCACAAAUAGAUGAUGCUUUCAAAGUAAUCACAAAAAAAUUUACUUUGGUUAUCAGACUUUACAAAUUAUACCUAUUUGACUGCUUAAUAAUUUUUCAAUUUAAUUUUUAUAUAAAAAAUUAUUUUUCUUAUUUUUUUAGUUCUUAAUUUCAAAAAAAAGAAAGAAUGGAUGUUGAAUUUUAACGAUAAAAAGAGAAGAUCAACAUUGAUAUCAAUUUCAUCCAUCAAAAUAAUCAAUAUUGAUGUUAAAAUAAUCUAUUUGGUAGGGGGAAUUUAAUUGUUGUUUUUCACCUUGAAAUUGCCUUAAAACCAUAUUGAAGAUUAGGAAGAGUUUUUUAAUUUUGGGCUGAUUUUGGUUUUUUAUGUUGUUUGUCUUUAAUGUCAUUUAUGGGUUUUCAACAUGUUUAGAUUCAUUUCUAAAUGUUUUGGGUAAGUAUAUAUAUAACUUUUUAAUCAUUAUUGUAGUCAAAAUCUAGGAAAUGUUAGACUGAAUUUUUUAAAAAAAAAUAUUGAGGUGAUGCAUUGGGCCUUCACUUAUACUGUGUAUAUAUCUUAUAUAUAAUUGGUUCUUCACUUAUACUAAUAUUUCCAACGAACCAAGAUUAUUCAUCGAUUACCUGGUCUACACUUAUAUUUUAUCUCUAUAUUAAAAAACAUCAAAUUAAAAUAAUUUUUUCAUAAUUUAUUCUGAUUGCUAGUUACAUUAAAAUAAAUAGAUGGAUAUUCAUUUGAUGAAAUAUCAUUUGAAUAUUUUAUUUCCUCUCAUAAUAACUAUAUAGAUUGAAUAAGCAUAUAGAUCCAAUAGAUAGGAGUAUCAAGUAAUAAAGAGUUGAUGUUGAAAAAUAAAAUAAAAUAUAGAAUUUUAGAAUUUAUUAUUUAUUAAAUAACUAUAAGAAAAAUAAAUUAUAAAAUAAGAAAUUAAUCAUAAAAAUAAUUAGUUCAUUUGAGAAAAGUUACAUCAGGCUAAGUAUCACAGCUUAUUUUACCCAUCCUGAAUAUUUUUCUUCUAAUUUAGUGGGGGAAUAGUAAGUUAUUAAAAGAUGAUGUUUUUUUGAAAAACAUUCUUCAUAAUAUUCUUAGGAUAGUCUUUUCUCGAUGAGAACUUGACACAAUAUGAUAAAGUACUAUUUUAGUUAUAUCCAAAUAAAUAAAUGGAUUUCACAAACAUGAUGCAUUUCUUUAUUCAUAAUUUAGCAGGGUUUUUUCUAGAGAUACAGUAAAUUUAUUAAUAUUAAAGAUACAAAACAAAUUACUAUCUUUAAAUUAAUUAAAUAUAAAAAUUGAAACUUGUUACAAGAAAAUAGAACUGACAAUACCCUUCAGAGCAUUGGUACGUAAAACAUAAUUUUUGGACGAAAAACAGAACUUUCUUGACCAAAUUUCAUAAAACUUAUCUUUUCUCUAAAUCAUGCACACAGAUGAGUCUCUUGUUAUCAUUGAUCAUUGGAGCUUAUCAAUGAAAGAUCUUAACCAUUCCUCAGUGUCAAUAAUUAUCAGUCUUUUUUAAAUACAAUAUAUAAUUUCUAAAACUUUAUUCGGACAUAAUCUUUCAUAUUUUUAAAACAUAAAACUCUUAUACAAAGGGAGCAGGGAGCAGGAGCGGAGCAAGAAAAAAAAAUUAAAAAAGCUAAAUUAAAAAAAAUAUUUUUAAAAAAUUAAAUUUUAAUUAUUCUAUACAAGGAGGGGCUGAGAAAAAUUUCUUUGCAGAGGUCAGGACUCUGCCAGCCCCCCCACCUACUGUUAGAGAAUAAUAUAAAUUAUAUCUUGAAACAUUACCUAAUAGUUUAAGCUAUUAAGUUGAGAUGAUUCUUUAACAUGAUAUUAGAGCCUUGAUGAUCAAGCGGUCACGAGUUCGAAUCUCACCAUCCUCAUUUAUUUGAUAAAAAUUAAGCAAAAGGUAAUGUGAGCCUAUGCAAGUUUCAAGCUAAAAGAGCUUUCAUUUGAGGAGGUGUAUUAGAGAAUAAUAUAAAUUAUAUCUUGAAAUCUUACUUAAUAAUUUAAGUUAUUGAAUUAAGAUGGUUCCUUAACACCUACGCCACUGAAAGGAGUAUAUAUCUUGUUUACAAAUCAUGUCCGAAAAGAUCAAGCUCUGAUUGUAGGAAAAAAAUAGAGUUGUAUGUAUUUAAGAAGAAUUAAAUAAACACCACUUUAUUAAAAUUGAAGCAAAUGCUUAGUACAUUUCUUGUAUAUUUGAAUCAUAUCAUAUGUUUAAGAAUUUUUCAUGUUUAUUUUUUUUGAAAAACAAUUAAGGGGCGAUGUGGAUAUAAAGCAAUCUAUGUGAAAUGCCAUUAUUGGGAGAAUUUUAUGCUGAUAGUUUAUUAAAUAAAAACAAUUGGUUAACAUAUAUAAAUCACCUUUUCAUUAUUUAUUAAUUAAGUAAACAGUAUCCCUACUUUAGUACAUUGGAAAGGAAGGAUAGCAAGCAACAGAGCCAAAUCAAUGGGCAGGCGGUUUCUUUUGGAUCCAUUGCGUGCUUUCAUGGCUAUAGUUUCUAGAAUCAUGAUGGAUGAACAAGCCAAGUCUGUGUGCAGCAGCAGUAACGCCGAUUACCGCCUACAAAAUUCUAGGUGGAAACUCUCACUUUUUGCCCUUUUGACGAGAAACUUCUCUCGGAUUCCCCCAUUAACCAUGAUAGAAACCUCGAGUUUGGAAAGAGUCAAAUUACACGUCUAGCUUCAAUUCUUCUCCCAACGCCAAGGAAACAAGAAAGUCAGGAGCUUGUGUGUUCUAGAGAAGCAACAAAUCUUUCCAAUUUGUUGAAAUUGCUUCCCAUUCUAGACAAAUUAUUGAGCUAUACAAAAAUGAUAUUUCCGUUGAUUUUAUGCGAUGGGUUGUACAGGUUGAACCUUGACGUUUUCUUUUCCGUAUCCUUCCUUACACUACUAGUACUAAUAAUGCUUGCAACAAACAAUGUAUUUUUAUAUUUUAAAAGUAAUUUUAAAAAAAUGUAAACUUUUUUUUUCAUGAUGUGGCGUAAAUGGUAGGCUCAUUACCAAAGAAAGGCUAAAAAGACUAGGCUAGGGUGUGUUAUUAGAUCUUGACUUCACAGAUUUUGACACACGUGUAUACUUCAUCACAGAAAAGCAAACUUGAGUUGCAAAAAAAGGUGCCACGCCAAGUCAAGAAUUGCUAGAAGUAAUAUACACGUAUUUGUGGAACAUUGACCGCUCCUUACAUGAGUGGAGAAAUGUACUUUACCUUUAUUGACGAUCUCUCACGAUAUAGUUAAAAAUUAAAUACACAAGAAGAAAAAAUUGUUACUUUAAGAUAUUUAAAAUAAAAGUUGAAAAUCAACAAAAUGACCAUCCAUUUUAUUGAAAUCGAACAGAAAGACAUGGCAUUCAACUGGGCACGUGACGUGUUAUCCAUUGAUAUAUUUUUCAACCAUAGAAGGCGAUUAAAAAACCAGUUUCUGAGUUUUUGUACUUUCAAAAUCUAAUUUUAAAAUUUUAAAAACCUUAAUAACCUCAUUUACAACUCCUAGCAGUCUUUAAUCAUACUAAAAUUCAAAAAUUAAAUUGAAAAAAAAUUUUACAAUAUAUGAUCUAGUUUUUAUGACAUAAUUAAAGAAAAAAAAUAACCUUCAUUAAACUUUUUUUUAAGAUUAAUAUUACAAUGAUUUUCUAUUUUAUUUCUUGUAACCUCAUAACUGAAACAUGAUAAAAAUAAAAUUUAAAGAUAUAAACAUAAAAUAUAAAAAUAAAAGGAUUAAAUAUAUAAAAUAAAAGCUUUAGGAAUCAGAAUUUAUUUUUUUUCCCCUCAGGAAUGGUAAGAAAAAUGCGUUGUUCCCUUACACAAGCAUUCCAUGGUAGCUUUGAGUAUAAAGGGAUAGUAAGGUCUUCAAUAAAAGAUCUACAUCAAUUAGUUUACUUUACUAACCAAUUCACUCAAGCAGGUCGAAUUAAAAAUUAAUUUUUAAUGCCAAAACAAAGAAUAUACAAACACUGCUUACAUUUUCUUAACAUAAGAAAAAUAUUAAUUAUGAACUUAACAUUUGAUGCAUAUAUGUGUUAAAAUAAGUAAAUAAUUAUAUGCAACAAUAAAUAUUAAAAAGAAAUAAAAAUUACAACCAAAAAGUAAAUUAAAAAGUUGAGAAAUAAAUGUAGAUUAAGAGAUCUGAUAUGUGUUAUGAAGAGCUUUUUUUAUUUAUUUAAUUACAUAUCAAUAGGUUUUCAAGAAAAUUAAUAAUUUUAAUUUUAUUGAAACAAAAAAAUUUGCUAGCAUAAUCUCUCUUUUUUUAUUAAAAUUUUUUAUCAUAAAAAAAUUAAAUUGUUUGUUCUAUGCCAUUCAUUUAAUAAAAAUAGAAAAAUAGAAAAAUUAUUAAAAAAUUAGAUGAUUUCAAAUAAGGUUAAAAAAAGUUUCUCUCUAAUUAAAAUCAUUUUAUCUUAUUAACAAGUUUCUUUUUUUUUUCUAGGUUUUUUAUUAGAAUAUUUAUUUUUUAGAUUACACCUCAUCACUAUCCUAAAAGCAAGUUUAGAUUAAAAAAACCAUAUUAUAACAAUUUUGACUCCAAUCUAUAAAAGAUAUAUAUCCAUACCCAUAUAUUUAUCAAAGGAAAAAAAAUUAAACCCUAUUCAUCAUACAUCAUAUAUGGAGUAAGAGUUUUAAAUAUCUAUACCCAACUUAUUAGAUUUUGGAUAUUCACUAUUCAAAUAUUAUUUAUUAUUCAAUAUAAAAUAAAAUAUAAUACAUAUAAAUGAUGUGUGUGUGUAUUUAUUAAAUAAAAUUAUUAACAUCAUAUAUGUGUGUAUUAAGGUUUCAAUAUAUUAUAUUGAAUGGAGAAACUAUAAAUGUUUAUAUAUAUCUUUUUCUUCACUUGAAAAAGGGUGAACUUUUAAAAUGUGUUUUUCCAAAUACAUGUUUUAUAAAAUCAGUAUAAAUUUGAAAAAUAAAAAAAUAGUUUUAAUAUUAUAUUUGAAUAAAAAUUUACAUUUUGAUUUUUUUUUAUUCUAGUUUUUUUUAAAAAAAUUAAAGUAUUAUUUUAUUUCUUGACGAACACCCCUAACUAUUCAAAUGAAAUCCGCCAUUUCGAAUUAGUACGAAUAAUAAAUAUUCAUCGAAUUAGUCCCGAUUCAAAUGCAUUAAUGAGUCAUUUAUCAUUGGUUUUGUGAAACAUGAACGGCCAGGACCUGUUUUUUUUUUUUUAUUAUUAUUAUUAGUAAUCCUGUGAAGCAAGCACACACAAGACGAUAAACUACUCCAACUUCCAACUGAAAAUACAGGACGCGCCGCUAAUGGAACCACAGCUAGCAGAGCUGGAGCGACUUCAAACCCGAAUCCUUAAUCGAAUAUCCAAACUCGAGCUCUCUCUUUCUACCCAAAGCAACAACAACGACAACCUCCCCGCCUGCGACGGCGGCGAUACCACCGAGGCUCGCCUCUCCACCAUUCUCCGAUCAAACGGCGUGAAGGACUUCUCCUUCAAAAAAGUCUCCUCCGAUUACUACGAUUGGCCUCUUGAAUCCCGACGCGACGUCCUCGGUGCCGCCUCUAUUGAUCACCUCUGUAAAAGCAUCGUCUUGGUACAUUAUUAUUAUUCAUUUAUUGAGCUGUAGUUAGGUUUUUGAGGUUUUUGAGUUAAAUUGGAUAUAUAUGUGCUAGUUAAAGGAAGGUUGAAUAAAAGGGGUAAAAGUAUCGCUACAUUAAUAAAAUUUAUGAGGACGGAGAGUCAACAAAAAAAAAAGAAGCAUUUUGUUCAUUUGCUUGGUUAUGGUUAUUAAGGAUAGAAUGAAGAAGACCUUGCCUAAAUGCAUAUAAUCACACAGCGUAUAUUGCUUGAUUAACUUUAUCACAUUUGUUGGCUGUAAUCUACAGAUUGCAUAAUUAUCGUGUUAAGUGAAUGUAUGGAUCUUGGCGUUAGAAAUGAUAACAUUUAUUAGUUGUUCUAUAUUCUUUUAUCAUUACAGACAAGGAACUGAAUGAGUGAGCACCUAUUUUGCAUUCUCAAGGAUUGUUCUUGUGGCUUGGACACAAGAAAAACAAGCCUUGCCAAAGGAGAGAAUGUGUGUUGAGAUUUUCACAGAAGAUUCAAUGGGGAUAUUUUUAUUAGAUAUGGUUGUAUGUAUGGCUAUAUGGUAUACUAGGUUCCAAUAGGGUAGCGGUUAAGGGCCCAAAUUUGAGUUUUUGGCAUAAAAAUGAACAAUUUGUUUGACAUACAAUGCUACUGGUAAUUAAAGUUCGUCCUUGUAUACCCAUUUCCACAGAGUAUAAUUAAAUUUCUUUUUGGAUUUGAAAACCAAGCAACAGCAGGUCGAUGGGGGGAAAUACGAAUCCCUAUCCUAGAAAUGAUAAAAUACCCUAAAAAAAUGUACCUCUGUGUCUUUUCUUUAUUAUUAUUAUUAUUUUAAAAAAGCACUCCUUUUCAAAUUCAGUAAACAAGAGAAUUCUUAUUCUAAAGUGAAAAGAGUUCGAUUUAAUAUUUGAUUAGUUCGAGAACUUAAAGAAAGUAGAUUUUUUUUUCAUUCUAAUUUUUAAUUUAGGACAUAAAUUUCUAAUAUAAAAUGAUAAAUGAAAUUAGACCUUUUCUUAUGUUGACUCAAAUUUCCUAACCUUUGGUUUUUUAUUCCACACUAUUUCUAUUUUGAAUUAUCAGUAGAGUUUUAGUUUGAUAAGACCACACAUUGCAUAGUCUUUCGUGAUAAAAAUUUUGUACUAUUUUUUGCUUGAGACAGGUUGGAAUGUGUUGUAAAAUAGAUGCUCUGUUUGAAAGCAUGUAAUAACCAUCACAGCAGUAAUCUGAUUCCUUGUGAUAUGAUUUGGAUGCAACAGGAUUUCAUGGCAAUCAAUGUUCAUUUAUUUUUAUUGCUUUGUCUUGGCCAUUUGUACUAUCAAAUUCUCUUAUGUCAACCUCGUCUUAUAAGGGCAUUAUUCAUCACCUGCCUCCUCCUGUAUCACUUUGAAUGACAACUGACAAGAUACUAUUAAAACUUAAUAUUGGACUGUCUUCUUUUCCUGCAGUAUUAGUAUUAGUUCAUGUAAAUUCUCCUUACAUUUUCUGAAUGUUGGACUGAAGUUCAUUAUUUUCUCAGGUAAAUACCCAGGCCCCAUCCAAUAUCACUGACUGCAGUGACUUCAAUAAUUCGAAGUAUUACAUAGUUGUUGUUCAGGUAUCUUGCUUUCCCAUAAUCCACAUUACAGCUUACCAUUUCAUAUGAUUCACGAACUAUCUUACAAGACAACACCUCCUUUACUGCAGUACACUGCUCGAUUCAAUGCUGAAACUGUUAAAAACUAUCUGUAUGCUCUCAACGAUGGCAAGAUAGCUAAAAAGAAAUUCAACUGUAAGUUGCUAUCCACUUGUUGAUCAUAAAGGUUGAUAUAACAUCUUAAAAUUCAUAAAUCAAAUGGUAAAAAUGGUUUAUUGAUCAGUCAUGCAUACAAAUUACAGACUCACAUGUCAUUCUGAACACAGUUGUGUAUUAUUUCAUGUCUCUCUAAAAACUGAGCAUAAGAUCAAAUAAAGUCAGCAGUCCAUAAAAGUUAUGAUACAAUGCAAUUCAAUGAUUAUUUGAUUUGUGCAAGCACAAGAGGCUGGUAACAAUUACAAUUUAAUUAAACAACUAUCUGAUAAUGCAAUAGAGGUGGGUGGAUAUCAUAUUUGGCCCUGGUGACCAGAUAGGUCAUUCAGUUUAAUCUAAAGAAAGUAAAAUAGAUUAUAGUUAUAGCUUUGGAAACUGCCCACUCUAUGCAGUCUCUUACGUUGAUUCAGUAUAUCAUACUUUCCACUCAAUUUGCAAAAAUAAUGCGUCCUUUGUCAUGUUUCACUGUUUCUAUUACCUUUCCUUCUGUUGCAUAAAUGGCUCUAUUAUAUUCUUGUAGUUUUUUUUACCUUGCAUGAUAUGAUAAAAAACAUAAAGAUUAGUUUCCAAUGGUUAAUAAAAAAAAAAAAAGGCCUUCCAUUUAUCUGUGGAAUGGAAUCCCGAGAUGAUACACUUGCUAGCCUGAUGCUUCUCUGCACUUAGGUAUCAUGAUGGCAGAAUAUUUCAUUGUCUUUAAUCAUGUUGGUUCACAUGCCUUUCUUUCAGCUGCAUCGUCAUAAGUUGCUGAUGUCUAAUCUACUUGCUUAAAAUCUUCACAUGCCUUCCAAUUUUCUUUUAAUAUCAUGAUUGUGGAAAUAUUAGUUGAAUAAUUUGAAUUCUUUCUCUCUCUCUCUCAUAAAAUGGCUCAUGGACAACAAUCAUACAUUAAUUGAUGAGAAUACUGUUUCCUUGUAUACACACAUAGAUAGAAACCUCCCACCUAUUUUCUAUUAAAAUUAAAACAUGUUCACAUGUUCUGUAGUAGGAAUGGUCUGUUUUAGGAAUGACCAUGACAUCCUGGAUGUGUUGACACCUUGUCUGCUUGUGCAUUCAUUUAGGAAAGUUAUAGCUGAAGUGAUCAUGUGCAUACACUCAUGGUUACCCAGUAAUUUGUGUGUUGGUAAAGGAGUUUUAGUGCAGGAUGUCGCGUCAUCUUUUAAUGAUCAUUUGUUUGUUUGCUUGCUUGUUUAUUUUCUACUAGUAAAAUCUGCAUGUCUGGACUUUGUAAAAUCAUCUGGGAAUUUAUAAUCUUGACUAUUAUGCAUGAUUUUGCACCAAAAGAGAUUUCAAGUUUGGCUGCAAAUUGCAACAUAUAAUAAAAAGCUUAGUCUCUUUGAUCUUAAUGUGAUUAUUUAGUGAGGAGGCAAUGAAAUAUUGUUACAUCUUUUAACUUUGCAGUGAGGCUUGCCCCUGAGGAGACAUCAAUGGAGCUGACAGGAUACGGGCACAAUGCAGUGACAUGUAUUGGCAUGAAAACCAACAUUCCGGUGAAUAUUCUCACUAUUAGUUCUCAACAUUGUCUAGGAAGUAGGAAUGAACUUAUUAGUUGCUAUAUUUAGCCCUUCAGUUAAGUAUUACAUUUCAAGUCAUUCUAAUUUUAUAUUUCUUUGCUUACAACCAAUCUCUUAUUGGAAUUUCUACUUCAAACUUCAUCUUUGCUUACAAACAUAUUGGUAAACUUGGAAAGGAAGAUCAAUCGCUAAGCUGUAAAGUGUAAUGUAAUUGCCAGCAUAAAAAAGUUAGGAUUGAUCCUUAUCAUGUCUUAUUUGAUUUCAUCUGAUUUUUUUUCAACUCAAUUGCCUUUUAACUUCAUCAUAGUUUAAAACAUACCUGAGAUCUAUUUGCAGUGCAUGUGUUCUUGACUCAUGUUUUCCAGACAGUACAUACAUCAGUGUUCUGUCUUGCAUGAUGCAGCAGAACACUUUGUCUGUUUGUCCAGAGGGUUAAUUGUCUGGGUAGAUACUUAUCCUUGUCUUUUUUACGGGUGGUGUGGCUGUUUUGUAAACACAGUGUGAUAAAUUGGCCCAAGAAAAAAAACAGAGAAUACUAGAGAAAAAAAUAGUAUUCUUGAUUCACUAUUUUAAAAAUAAUGGCAACGUGGAACUACUUUUCAUGAAUCAAGUCCUCAACUGCUCAAUUGCUAGGCCAGAUGUUGAGUAUUCAAGUGGUCCAUGGUUCCAAAUAACAUGCCUACUAAAUUCAGAUAUGCUAUAGUGGUUCAGUCAAAUGAUGGUCAAGAUCAAUGAUUUUCUGCCUGUCUGACACUAGAAUAAAAAUUGGGUUGACACUGAAAGUUGAGUUGUUCACAUAGAUAGGCCUGAGCUAGCCGGAAAUUUCUGCAGCGAAUGGCUGUUGACAUGUAUGCGUGUCUCUGUAAUUUUUGCACAUGUAUUCAUGUAGGGAACACCAUAGAAUGUUAUGGUGGAGGUUGAAGCUUACCAAAAUUGUUUGAAAUUGGCAGAAAGGAGAUUCUGAAAGCCAAACACGGACAAGCAUGUAGAUAUAUAAAUAUAUUUAGAUAGAGGAUUAUGAUUAUCUUGUAUUAUCAGUAAUUGGAUUUGGGGAACGAUGUUUUGAUCGCAGGUAAUUUUGGACGAAGCAAUUCUAAGACUCAAUCCCGAUUUCUUCUGGUUGGGUGGAGGAGAGAUUGAUUUGAAGCUGGGGAUAAGGACUUCUGAAUUUAUUGAUUUUGCUAAACCAUUCAUUGUCAGCUGCAGUGGCACAUGAUUAAAACAAAAUGAAAUUAUUCUUGGACGAAGAUGAAGCAAGAACAGACACGAUAGUAAUAUUUGUUGUAGAAACUUUACUCUGCACAGUUUCAUUGACUAUUGGAAUUGGAAUGAAAUUCAAUUGGGAGAUAUUAAAUCAAUAUUCAAUAUGCAAGCAUUUGGUUACAGGUUUUCAUUGGAUGUUUUGAUCUCAGGUUGAUCCCAUAUAUUGUUUAGAACUUGUAUAUAUGUUAUUUAUAUAUACAUGUUUAUCCAUAUGAACAAUUUGUUAAAUGAAGCGCACUGUUUUCAGAUAGAGGAGCAUCUUUUUGGAGAAAUACUGAAAAUCUCACCCAUAAGGUAUUUUGUCAUCUUCCAAUUUGUAGAACACCAAUCCUAACAAGAGCAAGACUGCAGGUCCUUAAUAUAUAGUACUCAUGGAGCCUGAAGUAGCGGUUUCAGAGGCAUGACUCGUAUCGGUAUCUCACGGAGGUUAGCUCAAGUUUCUAUUUUUCCUGUAUUGCUUCCUCCGUGGUCAUUUUCCUCUGACUGCAUGGCUUCCUCUGUAUCAUUUCCUAGCGUAGAACGUCCUUGCCCCUUCAGUCCCUGCCCAAACACCAACCAAAUAUACAUCCAUUUAAUCGAAUAUCCUUAACAUUUAUUAUAGAUGCAUAUUCAUAUCAAAUUUAUAAAUCAGUUUCGACAUGUAAUUAAGCAAAUUCGUACUUUAUGCUAUUCAUGAUCUCAUGGAUUUUUACGAUGCUUGAUGAGAAAACCAAUUAAUCUACUUUGCCAUCCUGAUGAAGGACAUGGCGAGGAGUUAUGGGCCAUGAGUAAUGGCCAGUUCCACACCAAAAACAUUACUGCCUAACAAACAUAAAAACCAUCCUGAAUACUUAAUUAAAUUGAUCAUAGAGAGUAUCUUACUCACCUUUAUUAUUUUAGGAGCCUGUUGCCAUUCAGCUUGUGAAGAUAAGAUCAUAACCUUAUUUCCUGCUGCAGGUAUACAAUUAUAUAUUAUCAUUAGCAACAAUAAAAGCAAUGAUAGCAACAAAAAAGUAGUUUUUUUUUUCUUCUGAUACUAUAUAAUUAAUCGUUUAGCACUGAGACAAGCAGUUUUUAUUUUUUAUUUUAUUUAUUUAUAUUAUUAUUAUCUUUGUUGACCUUAUUUCCAUGCAUGGAUAAUUUAAUCUAUCUUGUGAAAGAGGUGACCAAUCAAAGUCCAAUUUUAUCCUCAAUUUAUUGUGCAUAAUUAUUUUGCCAUUAUUCACGAGAUUGGUUAUGGGUUUGUUUAUAAUGAUCAAACAAUAUUAUCAUAAUUUCUUAUAGUUAGGCCAAACAUUGCAUGAUCUUAAUAUACGAUCCAUCCUUCAUUAACUAGUCUCAUUUUCGUUUAGCCUAUAAUAUAUAUGAAGGUUCUCUGCACCGAUGCACGAAACAGAACACGAUCUCAAGAAAGAUGUACAUAUGCUUCAUAUGUCUUACAAAAAAACAUAAAGAAAGGAGUGGAGGGAGAAGAAUGUCAGUGACGGGGAUGCAUCAAUGGAACAGUUCCUUUUGAAAUAUUGCAAGUUCCUCGUCCACUUUCCUGUUCCUUUUGAAAAAUAAAUAGAAAUAUUGAAGGUCACAGUUAAAUCUUUAAUGCUUGGACCAGUAACUCACUAGUCGUUCUUUAACUUCUUCAGUUCAUGAACAAGGCUAAGCCUAAAUUUUGAGUUCAAAUCAUCACUUGGUUAGAGUCUCUCUCCCUCUCCCUCUCCCUCUUUAUAUGUACAGAUGGUACUAUAAUGCAACAAAUUCUGUAGAAGAAACUCUGAAUGGUUACGUUUCGAGAUUGCCCAUGAUUUUAAGCUUGCAUGAAUCUUCAAGUAUAUAGCAAUUUGAUGAGGGUUUCAAUCUCCAUAAGCCUAUCUAUGCUCAACAUGUAACUAUGUUUUGUACGCAAAUGCUUGAAUUGUUAACAAGAGACGUUAAAGGCCAAUUUUGUUUCUUGCGUUUAGCAAUUUGAGCUUGGCAUGUAUACAUACAAUAAUAUUCUUUUGCUUCAUUUUAUUUUGUUUGGAACAUUUGCAAAAUGGUUGGUGAAUUUUAAAAAAAAAAUGUUACUUAGAAUGUGUACUAUGGUUUAUGAAAAUGAUAUUUAAAUUUGAUUUAUAAUUUAAAAGUUAUUUCUAAUUAAUAAUUUAUGAUUAAAAAAAAUCAAAAUAACUUUAAGUGAGAAGUGUGUUCGAUAAGAAUGAUCUCAAGCAAUUUUUUUGAAAAAACAAUUUAGUAUAAGCUAGAAUUUAUAAGUUAAAAGUUUUAAAUUUUGAUUAAAUCAAAAUUUUAAAUCGGUUUUUUAAUAAAAUUUUAAUUUAAAUAUGUUAGAGAAUAAUAUAAAUCAUAUCAUGGGACUUCACCUAACAGCUUAAGCUAUUGGGUUGAGAUGGUUCUUUGACAUGGUAUCAUAGCCUUGAUGACCAAGCGGUCACGAGUUCGAAUCUCACCAUCCCCAUUUAUUUGAUAAAAAUUAAGCACAAGAUAAUGUGGGCUUGUGCAAGUUUCAAGUCCAAAGGGCUUUCACUUGAGGGGGGGUGUUAGAAAAUAAUAUAAAUCAUAUCCUGGGACCUCACCUAACAGCUUAAGUUAUUGAGUUGAGAUGGUUCUUUGACAAAAUAAAGUUAUAUUUAUUAAAUAUAUUUUUUUAAUUUCUUUAUAGGUUAAAUUAUUUUCUCCAAACAAGGUUUCAGCAUCUCCUAAUUUUGUUCUGUGGGGUUUUAUGCGUUGUCACGGAAGAUGCUACAAUGAGUUUAAAUUUUAUUAUUUUAUUCCUUUUAAAUUAAAAAUUAAGCAUAAAAAAGUGAUGGAUAAGUUUAAUGUCUACAAAACUUUUAUUUAAAAAUAUAUAUUAUAAAAUAAUACAAAAUUAUUCUUGAAACUUCAUCCAAAAACUUAAAAUUUUAGAUUAAAAUGAUUUUUUACUAGAAAAUUAACUCAGACAAAAACAUCACAUGAAAAACAACAAACAAAAAUAAAGACAAAACUCUAUUGGAAAAUGGUUUCAACCACAAAAACCCUAAUUCAAAUUUUUAUUACUCAAUAAUUUAUCCAACCAAUACUAAAUAUUAAAUCUCUUCUAGGUUUCUUAUUUAUUAGUAAAACAUGACCUAAGCAAGACUAGAGUAAUAAUAAAAGAGUUAUAAACUAAAUAGAAAAGGGAAACAAAAUAGAUAAAUAUGGCAAAUCCCGAACAAUAACUUUUAGGUCUAAUUUUGGGCCUUACCGAUCUUAAAUGACUAUAAAAACCAUAUCUUAUAUAUAUAUAAUGGCAUCUAGAAUCUCCUAUUAAAAUUUCAGCUUGAUUAAAUGGUCAUAUCAAAAUUUAUAUCCAUUAGCAUAAAAUUGUGUAUUUGACCAAAAUCUCAUGUAUCAAUCUCCCCGUGUUGGAAACAUCUCGUCCUCAAGUUUAAAUUGUUCUUGCCUCGAUCUCCUAAAUGUCAGAUCAAGACUAUCAUACUCCUUUGUUUUUUUCAUUUAAGGUGUAUAACAAUUAUAUAUAUCAACUUUAAUUAGUCAUUCAUUAACACGUGUUGUAUCCAUAUUAAAUCUUCAGGAUACUUAUCCAGGCCAAAAGCUAACUCUGUUGUUCUUGCCUCUAAAACAAGGUUUCAAAGUUGUCUAUGAAUUCGUGAUCACUCUCCUCACAAUUCACUAGGGUUGUUAUCUCUACUAAUUGUCGAGUCAAUUCUGUAAUAUAUUUUUGCAUAUCUUCUAUCACUAGUUCUUGAACAUCUCUUUACAAGUGAAACAUGCUUCCAUUCAUGGUUAUUCUAUCAUAAAAUACUAACCAUUAGAAAUUAUUGGGUUCUAAUACCAAUCGACAAAGACAAAAACAACACAAAAAAGAUAGCAAGCACAAAGAAAGAUAUAAUUUUGUUGAAAAGGGACUCAACCACAAGAACCAUAAUUCAAUUUUUUAUUACUCAAUAUUUUCUCUAAUCAAUACUUAAUAUAAAAGCUCUUCUAGAUUGCUUCUAUACUAGAAAAAUAUCCUAAUCAAAAUUGAAAAAACUAAUGGAGUUCUAAACUAAAUAGUAAAAAGAAUUCUUAAUUAAUUAAAAAACAAAUUGGCAAAACCUAGAUCGUGCCUUUUGGAGAUAAUUUGAGAGCCUUACCAACCUAAGAUGGCUACAAAAAUUGAACCUUGCAGGGGAAAGGGCCUCUAAAAUCUCCUAGAAAAAUUAUAAACGGAUCCAACAGUCUGAUCAAAAUUUAUGUCUAUUAACUUAAGGCUACUCAUUUGAGAAAAACAUAAAAAGAAAACAAAAAAACUUACCAAUUUGGUUAGAAUCCAUGUCUCUUCUAACUAUAAUUAAAUUGCCAAUUUAGUUAAAAUGUAGUUUUUAAUUUCAAAACACUGUCAACUAUCAUAUUAAUGGAUAUAACAAGACUAUUUUAUAAAACUUCACAAAAUAAUCUAAAUUUUUAGAUUAAUAUUUUUAAUUAUUAGAUUAAUUCCUUAUAAGUCCGUAACUGGUUUUGACUAAGGAUGUAUUUGAAAACACAAUACAAACCACGUUCCCAAAAAAUUUUAAUUUUUUUUUUACUUAAAAUAAAAAAUAUAUAUAUAUUUCAUAUCAUUUUAAUAUAUUAAUAUCAAAAAUAAUUUUUAAAAAAUAAAAAACUUAUUUUAAUAUAUUUUUUUAAAAAAAUUACUUUUAACCAUCACCGCUAACAUUAUCUCAAACAGGCUUUAAAUCCUCUAGUUUAGCGCAAGACUAGUUAAUUUUCAGACGACAAGGUCGUUGUAAUAUAGUGAAUAGCGACCCGGGCCUAUCACGCUGGCGACCCGGGUUUGACCCCUGCAACGGAUUUUACUUUUCAAUUCAUCCCUUCAGAGAUACAUUCAUUUAGCGGUGGUUCCGGGUUGCAAAGUCUACUAAUUUUGAAGAGGGCAAAAACUCCUCACGACAGAAGCCCAGUACUGCAUUGUCAGAUCCGCAAAAAUGUGCAAUAGCAACAUCCUUGAUGCCAUGGCACUACAAUGAUACCUUAGAGUUUUCUAACUGACAGUACAUAAACUACCAAAUGGCCAUCCCUCCAGAAUGACCCCGCACCGGACUAUCACUAAGGCCUCAAUAUAUUCACCGUCUUCUAGAGUCAACGACUUGACCUCAUUUUCACAUUUCAGUUGGAUUAAUACUCUUUUUUCAGGAUAAAAGCUGAAAUUGAAAUCAUGAGAUUCAAAGGCCUCCUGUGAAUAAGUAUUAAAGAUGAUUUAAGAUUGAAAGGAUUUGUCAAGCUUAUAUACAUGACUGGAAAUAUAUGUAUGUUUAGGCAGAAUAAAGAACUAUUGACACAAGGUGAUGUAGACAAUAGUUAUGAAAUCAAAUUUGGUGAAACCAGGAAAGAAACGAGGCAACCACAGAUGGCUACAGUGGAAUCUGAGUUCCGAAAGUUUCUCUCCGCUGUAGGUAACAUAGAGAAACCCAUCUUCAUCCUUUUUCUCUUCAUAUAUGGCAGACAUGAUAGCACCUACAACAAAACAGAUGAUAAUUCCAUGCACCUUUACCAAUCAAAAUGCUAAUUACAACAUCUAAAUGAGAAAGACAAAUAUGUGCAUGAGUUUACCUGUUGGCGGGAGGACAUUAUCCACAAAUAUAAAGAUUGCCUUUUCUGCGCUCAGCUUGAUCCUUUGCGGAUGACAUAGACAAUGCCCCACAGUCAGGUCAGCCGGUACAAGGUACCUGAAAUUUUCAGGUUCAGAAUAUAGGGGGGAAAUCUCAAUAUCAUCAAGCAUAGCUGCUUAUCAUAAUCCAGGUAAUAAAUAACAUAUAUAUUUUCUAGGGCUAAACCGUUUGAAGAUGGCCAUAAUUAAAAGACAGAAAGAUAAGCCAUUCCACAUAACAAAGAUAAAAAGAAGCAAAA
rnacentral:lncRNA from 1 species